AUGCCGUGGACGGGGGCCUGCUGGGGCAGACGAAGGCCGACGUCGCCGAGUUCUUCGGCCUUCCCCUGGAGGAGAAGUCGGCCGUGGCGAUACCGCCCAACGGCAUGCAGGGCUUCGGCCACCACUUCGUCUUCUCCAAAGGAGCAGAAGCUGGACUGGGUCGACCUGCUGUUCCUCGCCACCAGGCCCGCCCAGGAGCGGAGCUUGGACCUCUGGCCUACCAAGCCCUCCACCUUCAGGGACACGCUUGACAAGUACACGACGGAGCUAGCAAGUGUGGCCGAGCAACUGUUCAGGUUCAUGGCCAAGGACCUGGGAGUUGACCAGGAGGCGCUCCUUGGCACCUUCAAGGGCCUGCCCCAGUGCGUGAGGAUCAACUACUACCCUCCCUGCCGUCAGGCCGGCAAGGUGCUGGGCCUCUCGCCGCACACCGACGGCGUUGGCAUGACGCUGCUCCUCCACGCCAACGACGUGCAAGGGCUGCAGAUCAGGAAGGAUGGGGAAUGGUUCUCCGUGCAUGCGCUGCCCGGAGCUCUCGUCGUCAACAUCGGCGACGUCCUUGAGAUCCUCACCAACGGCAAGUACAGGAGCAUCGAGCACCGGGCGGUGGUUAACCCUGACAAGGAAAGGAUCACCAUUGCAGCGUUCCACAGCGUGCACCUUCCCUGCACGAUCGGCCCGUUUCAGGAGCUGGGCGACGCACGCUACAAGACGGUCGAUGGCCUUGACUUCACCAAGGGAUACUUUGCGGCGAAGCUGGAAGGCAGGAGGUACCUGGAGAGCUUGAAGCUAUAG
rnacentral:rRNA from 1 species